UAAGGAGGGUGAAAGCGUUAAUCGGAAUUACUGGGCGUAAAGCGUGCGCAGGCGGUUAUAUAAGACAGAUGUGAAAUCCCCGGGCUCAACCUGGGAACUGCAUUUGUGACUGUAUAGCUAGAGUACGGCAGAGGGGGAUGGAAUUCCGCGUGUAGCAGUGAAAGGCGUAGAUAUGCGGAGGAACACCGAUGGCGAAGGCAAUCCCCUGAGACUGUACUGACGCUCAUGCACUACAGCGUGGGUCGCCAACCGGAUUAGAUACC
rnacentral:rRNA from 1 species